GAUGAACGCUAGCGGCAGGCCUAAUACAUGCAAGUCGAGGGGCAGCGGGAGUAGCAAUACUUGCCGGCGACCGGCGCACGGGUGCGUAACACGUAUACAAUCUGCCCAUAUCAGGGGAAUAGCCCGGAGAAAUUCGGAUUAAUACCCCAUAAUAGUAGAAGAGGCAUCUCUUUUAUUUGAAAGCUACGGCGGAUAUGGAUGAGUAUGCGUCUGAUUAGUUAGUUGGUGAGGUAACGGCUCACCAAGACCACGAUCAGUAGGGGAUCUGAGAGGACUACCCCCCACACGGAUACUGAGACACGGUCCAGACUCCUACGGGAGGCAGCAGUGGGGAAUUUUGGACAAUGGGGGCAACCCUGAUCCAGCCAUGCCGCGUGAGUGAAGAAGGCCUUCGGGUUGUAAAGCCCUUUCGGCCGGGAACGAAAUCGUAUGGGUUAAUACCCUGUGCGGAUGACGGUACCGGCAUAAGAAGCACCGGCUAACUACGUGCCAGCAGCCGCGGUAAUACG
rnacentral:rRNA from 1 species